rnacentral:tRNA from 1 species
GUUUCUGUAGUGUAGUGGUUAUCACGUUCGCCUAACACGCGAAAAGGGCUCCGGUUCAAAACCGGACAGAAACA